UACGGACACUAGCUAAAAAACUCGGCGAGUCAGCUAGAAAGGCAGUGGAUGAGUUCUGCGACUGGAAGUUACAAGAUAAAGCACCAGGCAAAACAUUGGAAAAGCUUUGUACAGCAAGCAGGACAUAUCUCCCCACCUCAUCAGAGUGUGAGAGGGGGUUUUCUGCCGUCAAUGACACUGACAGCAAGACCCGCAAUAGACUGCGUAAAAACAGCCUCUCAUCGCUCCUUUUUGUGGAUCUUAAUGGACCCCCUUUGGAGAGAUUCGACCCAGCACCCUUCAUCACAUCCUGGAUUAAAUCAGGUCAUUGCCUGUCCACAUCAUGGGCUUCUGGACCAACAGCAAAGGAAGCUGAUCCCAGGCCUGUGUGGUCGCUUCUGUUUCAAGACAACACAGAGCCCAGUGCACACUUCAAGUACGUUGAAGUUACUCUUCUACUCUGUAGAAUCUGGAGCGAUGAUCCGGCUGGCAGGCUGUUCAUUCCCUGGAGCUGUUUCCAGUGCACUGCCGGCUAAGGAGGUGACUCCGGUGUGUGUCAGAUAGUAGUAAAAAAAUUGCAAAUCCGAGUAAGCUCACUCAGAUUUGUUUUGUGGCCGCUUAAGUUGCAACUCAAGUAUUUUUGUUGGUGGUUUCUGGGUCCCCGAAGAGGAGGUUUUGUGUUGAGAAAAGCCUAAUUUGUUUGAACAUUUUGUGUUGAACAAAAAAAAACGGAAUAAACUUAAUAUGUUGGUUGGAAAAAGGACUCCACACUCAAUUAUGAUGGGACUGUGGGGUUUAAGAGUGGCUUUCUUGUGUUUCUUGCUGACUUUGUUCACCAGCUAGUUAUUAACUUUGUCUGUCUGCUGAUAUAUUGCAUGUAUUUUAGAACUUUUUUGCUGAAAAUAGUUGUCUGCCAAAAUAAUGAGCUGAAAUACGCUAAAACAAGCUGAGGGGAACUGUACAGAUGGGCGAUAAUUUUCUGUUUGUCAUUACAAGCGAGUCCUCUCACACUGAACAAUGACAUUUCACCCAUUGUUAAUACAUAAAUGUUGAUUGUGGCGGCUUUAAUACUUUACAUUUUCAAGUACCAUUUAUCUGCUUAUCAUUUUAAUAGUUUAACAAAUUAUAUUAUUAUUAUUAUAUUUGUAUAGAAC
rnacentral:lncRNA from 1 species